rnacentral:rRNA from 1 species
UACGGAAGGCAGCAGGGGGAAUAUUGUACAAUGGGCGCAAGCCUGAUGCAGCCAUGCCGCGUGUAUGAAGAAGGCCUUCGGGUUGUAAAGUACUUUCAGUCGUGAGGAAGGUGUUAAGGUUAAUAACCUUAGCAAUUGACGUUAGCGACAGAAGAAGCACCGGCUAACUCCGUGCCAGCAGCCGCGGUAAUACGGAGGGUGCGAGCGUUAAUCGGAAUUACUGGGCGUAAAGGGCACGCAGGCGGUUAAUUAAGUUGGAUGUGAAAUCCCCGGGCUUAACCUGGGAAUGGCAUUCAAGACUGGUUAGCUAGAGUCUUGUAGAGGGGGGUAGAAUUCCAUGUGUAGCGGUGAAAUGCGUAGAGAUGUGGAGGAAUACCGGUGGCGAAGGCGGCCCCUGGACAAAGACUGACGCUCAUGUGCGAAAGCGUGGGGAGCAAACAGGGAUUAGAUACC